AUUGAACGCUGGCGGCAGGCCUAACACAUGCAAGUCGAGCGAGCGGCGGACGGGUGAGUAAUGUCUGGGAAACUGCCUGAUGGAGGGGGAUAACUACUGGAAACGGUAGCUAAUACCGCAUACCAUCAGAUGUGCCCAGAUGGGAUUGGCAAGUAGGUGGGGUAACGGCUCACCUAGGCGACGAUCCCUAGCUGGUCUGAGAGGAUGACCAGCCACACCGGAACGGAGACACGGUCCAGGCGCCUACGGGAGGCAGCAGUGGGGAAUAUUGCACAAUGGGCGCAAGCCUGAUGCAGCCAGACCGCGUGUAUGAAGAAGGCCUUCGGGGUGUAAAGUACUUUCAGCGGGGAGGCGUUACCCGCAGAAGAAGCACCGGCUAACUCCGUGCCAGCCGCCGCGGUAAUAC
rnacentral:rRNA from 1 species